rnacentral:misc_RNA from 1 species
CCCCCCCCCCCCCCCCCCCCCCCCCCCCCCCCCCCCCCCCCCCCCC